GUUUAAAUUUAGUUAUUAGUUGUCUCAAUUGAAUUGUUCAGAUGACAUAUUUUUCUUUUACAGCUGUCUUUUAGGGCAUGGGUAUUUUCUAAUUGUUGAAAAUUGUACAGUUACUUUUAAUUUCUAAUAUCCAUAUCAUCUGAACUUUUGUGGAUAGCUAUAGUUGUCUCAUUGGCCAACAUACCAUGACCACGUCUCCUUAUUCAUUUUGUGGCAUACAAAAUUGUUGCCUUCAUAAUUUAAUCAGGUUAACAUGUUCAUAAAAAAAACUAGA
rnacentral:lncRNA from 1 species